GGAAGAAGCUCAAGGAAAUGGAGGAGAGACUCAAAGCGUUGCAGGAUUUGGACAGGAAUGUGAUGGUUAAGAGUAGUUCUCUGAGUACAGAUUUCGAUAAAGCGUGUAGUAAUCUCGAUAACCUCUCUACUGGGAAGUUGGAUGAGGUUAAGUAGACGGAGGGUAAUAUAUGUUAGCAGAACUAAAGUUGAGGGUUUAUUUCACAUGAUUUUUAGUUGAGGAUUUUUUUUACGAUUCAUCUUUAGUUGAGGGGUUUAAUUACUAAAAACCCUUAUUUUAAUAUCUUCUCGUUAGCUGGUGUAACGUUUGGUACAGAAGAAUAAUCGGGAGGAGAAUGCUUCCGACCACGACGCUGGCACUACAACAUUGGCUAAUAAAAACAUCCAUAGAAGUAAAAGCUCCUACGAGAAGGGUUUGUCGAAGUACUGGGAGUUCGAGAAGAGCAUUAAGGAGAAGCAGGAGAGGAUCUGCGGGUUGCAGGAUGAGUUUGGGGAGAGCGUUGCGAUCGAGGACGAUGAAGCGAGGAGGUUGAUGACCGAGACUGCGAUCAAGUCGUGUCAGGAGAAGCUGGUGGAGCUGCAGGAGAAGCAGGAGAAGUCUUACGAGGAAGCGAGGGAGGAGCAUUUGAAGAUUGUGGAGUCUAAGGAGAAGCUGAGGUCUAUGUCGAGUCAGCUUCUUGGUGAGGACAGUGUUGUCUUUGCGGAGGAUUGUGAUGAAGUUAGAAGUAGUGCUUUGGAACAUGAGAUGAGAGAGAUGUCUAGGAAGAAGGAAGAGCUGGAGUCUGUUAAGGAGAAGAUCAGAGAGCAUUUCGAGUCCGGCGUGGACUCUUCGGUGGACGCUACAGAGAUGGCUGAGAGGGUUGAUGAGCUUGUGAACAAAGUGAUUAGCUUGGAGAGUGCUGUUUCCUCCCAGACUGCUUUGAUUCAGAGGUUGAGAAAUGAGACUAACGGUCUACAGACGCAGAUAAGUACUCUUGAAACGGACAAGGCUGUAUUAGCAGAUGACAAGAGUGAUCUGAGGAAGAAGCUUAAGGAGAUGGAGGAGAGACUCAAAGCGUUGCAGGAUUUGGACAGGAAUGUGAUGGUUAAGAGUAGUUCUCUGAGUACAGAUUUCGAUAAAGCGUGUAGUAAUCUCGAUAACCUCUCUACUGGGAAGUUGGAUGAGGUUAAGUCUGAGAACUUGGCAGUGAAAAUGGCUGAGGAGACGAAAGAAGAAGAAGCUGAGAAGAAGAGUGAAAGCUCUGUAGAUAUCAUCAUCCC
rnacentral:lncRNA from 1 species